rnacentral:rRNA from 1 species
UGUACACACCGCCCGUCGCUACUACCGAUUGAAUGGCUCAGUGAGGCUUUUGGACUGGCUCCAGGAGGAUGGCAACAUCCACCCAGAGCCGGAAAAUCUGUCAAACUUGGUCAUUUAGAGGAAGUAAAAGUCGUAACAAGGUUUCCGUAUGUGAACCUGCGGAAGGAUCAUUA